AUGCACAUAAUGCACGCAUAUUAUUUGAUGAAUAAACUCAGGUACAAAAAAGUAUCAAUUGAUUUUUUCAUUAAUUGUGACAGUACUAUAUUUAAUUGUAUUUAUAUUUUUCUAUUCCAGAUUAAAAGUUACUAUGAAAUGAAGAGAAAGUAUCCAGAUUUUUAUCGUUACUGUUAUCCCUCGGAGAGAUCUUAUAUAUACGAUAUGUGUUUUCUCACUUUACUACCUGGCACAGACAAAUUGGGCAGGGUAGUGACAGUCGUCUGUAUCAGAAACACAGAUUUCUCUCAAAUUAGUCUAGAAGAUAUGUUUCAAGUCGGGACGAGUUCGUUUGAAGUGGCUUUGAUGGACCCUAAGCUUCAAAUCGCCGGCGGAGUUGCCAUUAUAGACAUGCAAGGAAUGAGCAUCUAUCAACAAGCAAAAUUAGUGACGCCCUCUGCCGCAUGGCAGAUAACAAUUGUGUGCAGGUACUUACGAUCAUAUUUUAAAAAUCACUUCACUAAUCUUUCUUUCCGUCCCUCUUUUGGGAGCUGGUCCCCCAAGGCAGGAACACUUGAAAAGCGAUUUCUAUAAAGUUUGCGGCCUUUUAUUACCAUUAGAUCCCCAUGAGCGGUCUAUCUGUCCUUUGCCCUCCCCCCCCUCAAAAAAAAUUCCAGCCUCGCCUGUGCAUCUGGACUCAUAUUUGGACCGCGUUUAGCAAAAAGGAGGUGAGCCAAAUCAGCUUUUGCCAAAAUGUUUCACAAUAGAACGUUUGUUCCUAAUAUUUUGGCAAUUUUGAGGAAAUUGCUUUGUACUGUGCAGAAAAUUACUAAAAUUUGCACAAAAAUCCGAACGGUUUCAUGUAAAAAUUAAACUGAUCAAUUUAAUUUGGCAAUUUCUGAUGUAGCUUGGUUCCUUUUUGCUGAGCGCGGUGCAUUUAGUCCGCAAUGAUUGUUUUGUAGAGACUGGUAAUAACAUACCUACACACGCGCAACGCGCCUCUAAUCAUAUUUGGAGUUGUCUUGAAAUGAGGUCGUGUAAUCACAUUAUUAUCACCAUAUUUUUAAAGGAGAAAGAACUUGCUUUCUUUCUGCAUGAAUGGGGGGAAAUGCUUUUCAGAUCAAUUUCAUAUGUUGAUCAUAGAAACCUGUCUAAUCAUGCAAGUAAGUUAUGGGGUCAACAGAAUCCGUCAAUUCUGAUAGGGAAUACCAUUAUCUCGUCUGAGACGAAGUCUGCCGUGCUAUAUGGAAGAACGCCUUAUGAGCCUUUAGACGUUGCCAAGUUUCCCUCGAUAAGAACCGAAUUUACUGGUCAAAUUGUGAAUAUUUGUUUCCAAAAUUUCCAGACAAUUUCGUACGCAAUUUAAUCUGCAAGUAAUAUCUGAAAAUUUCAAGGAAGAAUAUCCACGAGUGUCGUUUAAAAUACAUGUUUUAUCAAGAAGAAUCCGGCAACUCUCAAAUGCUCAUAAGGCGUUCUUCCUUACCACUGCAGAAGUGAUGUUCUCGGUGUUGCGAACUUCUUUGAAGUCAUUAACCAAGUCAGUU
rnacentral:lncRNA from 1 species